rnacentral:lncRNA from 1 species
UGAUGGCGUCUAUCAUGAAACCAGGCCAGCCGACACAAUCCCAAAACAAAUCGAUAUUUGAUAAUAAGGAUGUUUAAACUAUUAAUUUAUAAAAUUUCACAGUAUAAGUCUAAAUAACAAGUGCGGAAAGAACAAAGGCUUGACAUCGGGGUGUCACAUGUCAUGAGCAUCUACUAAGGAGUGUCUGAAUACAACUAAGACUAUCACAGCCUGGAAAAUACUAAUAUAGUCUAAGGAAGAUAAGAGGGAGAAGACCAAGGUUGCGAACGUCAUGCAGCUACCUUGCCGACUAUGAAUAUCCGCAACGGAUGAAAGAUCAGCAAUCGCUAUCACGUCCAGCAACUCAUAGAUCUGCACAUAAGGUGCAGGGAGUAAUGUGAGUAUGCCAACUCAGUAAGUAAUAAAAGAAAAUAAAGACUGAGUAGUAAGAAAUACAUAAAUCCACAUCAUGAAAUCAUAGUAAGUACAGCCUGCCUUCAACACAGAACAUAGUCAAAUCAUCUCAUUUAAAAAUCCAUUUUCAGUAAAAAUCAUUGAAGAUAUUUUUAGAACAAUUUCAACGUAGGUUCAAUGAAGUUUAGAGUAAAAGUGAUGAAAAUCAUAAAUAGCCCAUCGGGCAAAACAUGUAUCAUAAACCGUCCAUCGGGCAUAACAUCUCUCAGAAUCAGCCCCUCGGGCCACCUCACAAUCGCUCGUAAUCAGCCCCUCGGGCACAACAUGAAUCAAGAACAGCCCAUCGGGCAACAUCAUAUCAACCACUCAAGAUACUCGCUCUCACUGGGGUGUACAGACUCUGGAGGGGCUCCUACAGCCCAAGCGCUAUAACAAGCCAUCUCGUGGCAUAAUAAAUCAGGCUCUAGGCCUCUCUAAUAUCACAAAUCAGUAUAACAUGCUGCGGCGCACAGCCCGAUCCUAGGAUAUCCUCAAAACACAUGCCCUCGGCCUCACUCAGUCAGAAACCUCUCAAGCCACUCGGGCUAUCAAUAAAAUAGGGUGCUCAGCCCAAAAUAUCAUUUUAUGCAUCAAAACGGAGUAAAUGAGACUGAGUUAUGAAAUUAGUAAAAUAUAGCAUGAUUGAUUACCGAUCUUAAACCAAAAUAGUGAGGAAACAGUAGUAAAAAGCCCCUAAGGGUCCAACAGAUUGGCACGAGGCCCAAAUAUGGCAUUCAACCCAAAAUAUAGUACUACUUUCCAAAGCACAUAAGUAUCAAAUAGUUUUUAGUCAAAUAAGUAACUUAAUAGUCGCUACAGGACAGACCAGAUCACAAUCCCCAAUGGUGCACGCCCUUACGCUCGUCAUAUAUCUUGUGUGUUACCUCAUAAUAAUGAAACGAUGUAAAAUCCGGGGUUUCAUACCCUCAGGACAAGAUUUACAAUCAUUACUUACCUCAAACCGGACAAAGCUCUAACCCGCAAUGCCCUUACCUCUCGACUCGGCCUCAAAAUGCUCUGAAUCUAACCAAAAUCAAUAUAUUAUCAGUAAUAUAUGCUAAAGGAAUGAAUUCCACACGAAAAGAAAAAUAAUUAGACCAAAAAUUUCGAAUUGGACUAAAACUCGGACCCCGGGCCACGUCUCGGAAUACAACAAAAAUUACAAAACUAGAAACUUCUUUCACUCCUGAGUCUAUACAUACCAAAACCAUCAAAAUCGGACUUUAAAUGGCCCCUCAAAUCCCCAAUCAAAGCUCUCCAAAACUCAAGCCCUAAUUCUUCAACUUCACCCUAAAUUUUUCACUAAUUUCAUGAUUAAUUAGUGGAAAAAUCAUCACAAACACAAUUAAUAAAGCCCAAGUAGCUUACCUCACUGAAACCCCUCGAUUCCCUCUUGAAAUCACUGCUUGGAGCUCCAAACUCGUCCAAAAAUGGUGGAAAAAUGACUGAAAUUCGCGAAGGGGAACUUAUAUACUUUCUAUCCAGAACUUCCGCAUCUGUCGUCCAAAUCUCACACCUUCCCAACCGCUUCUGCGGUCCAACCAACCGCACAUGCGGUUUCCACUUAAAUGGCUAGGAACGUAUCUGCGCCCCAGGCACCGCACUUGCGGUAUCGCAAAUGCGUCCAACACACCGCAUCUAAGAUUCUUCCCCUGAUGGCCAAACGCACCUGCAAUCUCCAUAUCGUAUCUGCGACCUCGCACCUGCGGUCCCCAAUCCGCAGGUGCGAAAAUGACAGAAGCAGCAAAUUCAGCAGCAUCAACUCAAUGCCAAUCUUUCUGUCAACCACCCAAAUACAUUCCAAGGCCCUCGGGACCUCAUCCAAACAUACUUGCAAGUCACAUAUCACCAUUCAAACUUAUUCCAACCUUCGAAACACUUAAAAUAACAUCAAAACACCAAAUCACCCUCGGAUUCAAGCCUAAGGAUUUUCAAACUUCCGAAUUCCACAAACGAUGCCAAAAGAUAACAAACCUUAUCCGAAUGACCUGAAAUUUUGCACACACAUCACAAAUGAGAUAACGGACCUAUUCCAAUUUCCGAAAUUCCAUUCCGACCCCUAUAUCAAGAUUUCCACUGCCGAUCGAAAAACGCCAAAUUUCCAAUUUCGCCAAUUCAAACCUAAAUCUACCACGGACCUCCAAAUUACAUUCCGAACACGCUCCUAAGUCCAAAAUCACCUAAUGAAACUAUCCGAACCAUCAAAAUUCACAUCCGAGAUCUUCUACACAUAAGUCAACAUCCGGUUGACUUUUUCAACUUAAGUUUCCAAAUAAGAGAUUAAGUGUCUCAUCCCACUCUAAGACCACUUCGAACAUAACAUAACCAACACGAUAUGAUGAAAUACAGCUGAACAACACACAAGGGAGUAUAAAUGGGGGAAACAGGGUUGUAGCUCAUGAAACGAGCGGCCGGGUCAUUACAGGCUUUCUAUGGGAGGGGUCUAAACAGAAGAAAAUGAGUUCUCGAGGCAGAAACUAAAGAAAAGAGCCAAAAAAGAAAAAGGAAAAGAAACUAUGGGGAAAAAGCCAAAAGAAAAGAUAUAUAAUUAUUAAAUUACAAGAAAAUAUAAUAUAUCAUUGUUAGACCUGGAAAUCGAACCCGAGUCAUCCAGCACAAAAGCAGCACUCAGGCAAGCGCAACCAGCGCCUCCAAACAUUUAAGUACAAGGGUCCCUAGUUAAAUAUAUAUUGAGUUUUCAGCGUAUACAGCCUAUAUAUNNNNNNNNNNNNNNNNNNNNNNNNNUAUAGGUCCGCCUUGUCCCCACCUACUUUCUUCGAGGAAAAGAAUAAAUCUUAUUUCUUUGAUUAAAGAAACUUACUAUUAUAGUUACUUCAUUUUACUUGUAGAAUCUGGAAAAUUGUUACUUAUAUUGCAUUAUGUAUUAUUUAUUAAUCAAAGUUAUAAUUUUCUUAAAAAGAGCUAGAAAAGAAAAGAAGAAACCAACCAAUAUCAAAUAUAUAUUUGAAUUUUUUUUAAACGUUAGCACUAGAGUGAAAUUUGGACAAUUUUAUACCAAAUCCUAAUCUUGUUCAAUUUACUGUACAUACCAUGAAUCCGCUUAAAAGAGAGGGGUGCCUUUGCAAACGCAGACAUAAGUGGUGCAUGCACUAUAACAUUAUGUAUAUAUUGCUAAUAAUUCUUUGUUAUAUAUAUGAAAAUCGUGGCUAAUACCUAACAAUAGCCACAAAAAUUAAAAUUUCAUGGCUAUUUUCAAUUUCAUAAAAAAAAUUAGCUACAAAAUUAAAUUGGCAAAGCUAAUUUCGUAUUUUUGCUAUAAUAUCUAACUGUCGUAGCAAUAAUUACCCAAAUAGCUAUAAAUUUAUUGCUAGAAUAAACAUUCGUAGCUAAUCGUAUUCUUUUUGCUGCGUAUUUGAAGUUACUAUAGCAAGAGCAAUUUUAUAGCUACAAGAAAUUACUUCUAACAAAAUAUUAUAGCUAAAUAAAUAUUUUUGCUUCCAAUUAUAAAAGCUUGUGGCAACAACUAGCUUAAUAGCUAUUGCUACAACAAUAUUUUGUAGCUAAUUGUGACUUUUUGCCACACGUCUGAAAUUGGAAGCAAUAUUACUCUUUUAGCUACAAAAUAUUAUUAGAGAUAAAAUUUUGUAGCUGAGUAGAGAAUUUUGCUUCAAGUUAUAAAUAUUUGCGGCAAAAACUAACUUAAUAGCUACAAACUUAUUCUGGCACAAUAAAAUUUUGUAGCUAAAUAUAAAUUUUUAUCACGUGUAUGAAGUUACUACAGCUAUAACAUGUUAGCCACAAUAAAGAUUUGAAACAAAUAAUGAAUAUAAAACUAUUUAAAAAUUUAAGUUGUAAGAAACCGAGAAAAUCAUUGGUUAUCGUCAGCUCGUGCCGUAAGGUGUUGGGUUAAGUUCUGCAAUAUUUUAUCCGAUUCUAUUAUAAGCUCUUAAACCUACAGUAAAAGUAGAUUUCCAGUUUGGUCAAGUAGAGGUUUUGAUCAAAUGUAAGUAAAGCAGUAGGGGUGGGCAUCGGUCGGUUCGGUUCGGUUAUGAAUAUUAUCGGUUGAACAUAUCGGUUAUCGGUUUACAAAUAUGAUAAACCGAUAACCAAACCGAUAAGAUAUUAGUUAUCAGUUAUCGGUUAAUCGGUUAUCGAUCAUUAUCGGUUCGAUUAUCGGUUUACCCGAUAAGAUAAAACAACUAAAACAGUUUUAUAAACAACUUUAUAUCGGUAUAAAACUGUUUUGCAAUGUUUCUUGUACCGAGCUAAAACAAUUUUAUAAAAUAGCUUUUUUGCAAGCUAAAACAGUUUUAUAAUACAGCUUAUUUGUAAUUGAGAAAGGUAUAAAGACAAGCUGUUUUGCAACUAAUAGUUCAACACUAAAAUCUGCAACAUAAAACAAUAGAAAUAGUUAACUAGUAGUUUAAGCAGUGAGUUUAAAUUCUUAAAGCUGAUUCUACUUUCUCUGUGAUUUCAUUCAUAAAUCUGAUUUAUCUUUAAAUGAGGUACUUUAUGCUAAUAAUUUGAUGCCAACAAAUAGGACAAAAACAAACGAAGAAAAAAAAGUAACAAAACAGAACGGAACAGUUAGAGUAGAGGAAAAGGCUAGAGAUAAAAACUAUGCAGAACUAAAAUCAAACCUCAAGUCAUUUUAGCGAAACAGAUAAUUGUAUAAAACAGAUAAAUAAACGAUUCCCACAAAAAUCCAAUAGUAAAUAAAUCAACACAAUAGUGAAGUGAAUCAACGGGCAAAAAAUAAACGAUUCCCUCAAAAAUCAACACGAAGAUUGAAUCAAGGCAAAAAUAAACAGAGCAUAACCCAAUAGUGAAGUGAAUCAACACAAUAGUGAAGUGAAUCAACAAGCAAAAAUAAAUGAUUCCCUCAAAAAUCAACAUGAAGAUUGAAUCAACUGAAGAUGAAGAUGAAGGCAAGUAGGCAACCGAAGAUAAAGAUGAAGAAACUAAAAACUUACACGAAGAAUAAAGAUGAAGCUGAAGAAUGCGGCUGAGAAAUGGGCUGAAGCGUGAAGUGAAGAGGGUGAAGUCUGAACUUUGAAGAAUGCGGCUGACGGGCUGAG